UACGUAGGGUGCGAGCGUUAAUCGGAAUUACUGGGCGUAAAGCGUGCGCAGGCGGUUCUCCAAGUCCGUUGUGAAAGCCCCGGGCUUAACCUGGGAAUUGCGGUUGAAACUACAGGGCUAGAAUCUGGCAGAGGGGGGUGGAAUUCCACGUGUAGCAGUGAAAUGCGUAGAGAUGUGGAGGAACACCGAUGGCGAAGGCAGCCCCCUGGGCUGAGAUUGACGCUCAGGCACGAAAGCGUGGGGAGCAAACAGG
rnacentral:rRNA from 1 species